UACGUAGGGGGCAAGCGUUGUCCGGAUUUAUUGGGCGUAAAGAGCGUGUAGGCGGCCGUACAGGUCAGCUGUGAAAACUCGAGGCUCAACCUCGAGACGUCGGUUGAAACCGUACGGCUAGAGUCCGGAAGAGGAGAGUGGAAUUCCCGGUGUAGCGGUGAAAUGCGCAGAUAUCGAGAGGAACACCGGUGGCGAAGGCGGCCAGCUGGACGAAUACUGACGCUGAGACUCGAAAGCGUGGGGAGCAAACAGG
rnacentral:rRNA from 1 species